UUGGAGGGCAAGUCUGGUGCCAGCAGCCGCGGUAAUUCCAGCUCCAAUAGCGUAUAUUAAAGUUGUUGCAGUUAAAAAGCUCGUAGUUGAAUUUCGGAAUCUGUCCGUCGGUCGGGCUUCACUGUCCGUACUGGUGUGAUGGGUUUCUACCUUCUGAAUAACCGGCAUGUCAUUAAUUUGGUGCGCCGGGGAAGCAGAACUAUUACCUUGAAAAAAUUAGAGUGCUUAAAGCAGGCUAUCGCCUGAAUAGAUUAGCAUGGAAUAAUAAAAUAGGACGGCAUGGUUCCAUUUUGUUGGUUUCUAGGAUCACCGUAAUGAUUAAUAGGGAUAGUUGGGGGCAUUAGUAUUCAAUUGUCAGAGGUGAAAUUCUUGGAUUUAUUGAAGACUAACUUCUGCGAAAGCAUUUGCCAAGGAUGUUUUCAUUAAUCAAGAACGAAAGUUAGGGGAUCGAAGACGAUCAGAUACCGUCGUAGUCUUAACCAUAAACUAUGCCGACUAGGGAUCGGACGAUGUUAAUUUUUUAAUGACUCGUUCGGCGCCUUACGGGAAAC
rnacentral:rRNA from 1 species